GGACCUUAGCUCAGUGGUAAAACAUUUGAUUGCUAUGCAGAAGGUCCCAGAUUCAACCCCCACUGGCAUGUCCA